rnacentral:rRNA from 1 species
GACGAACGCUGGCGGCGUGCUUAAUACAUGCAAGUAGAACGCAGUUGCGAACGGGUGAGUAACGCGUAGGUAACUGCCUCCUAGAGGGGGAUAACUCUUGGAAACGAUAGCAAAUACCGCAUACUGUGAGCUGGCCCUGCGUUGUCUUAGCUAGUUGGUGGGGUAAAGGCUCACCAAGGCGACGAUACCUAGCCGACCUGAGAGGAUGAGAGGCCACACGGGGACUGAGACACGGCCCAGAGUCCUACGGGAGGCAGCAGUAGGGAAUCGGCGGCAAUGGACGAAAGUCUGACCGAGCAACGCCGCGUGAGUGAGGAGGGUAUUCGGAUCGUAAAGCUGUGUUGUUAGAGAAGGGGUAGCUAACCAGAAAGGGACGGCUAACUACGUGCCAGCAGCCGCGGUAAUAC